rnacentral:rRNA from 1 species
AACGAACGCUGGCGGCAUGCCUAACACAUGCAAGUCGAACGAGACCUUCGGGUCUAGUGGCGCACGGGUGCGUAACGCGUGGGAACCUGCCCUUAGGUUCGGCAUAACUCCCCGAAAGGGGUGCUAAUACCGGAUAAUGUCUUCGGACCAAAGAUUUAUCGCCUUUGGAUGGGCCCGCGUUGGAUUAGCUAGUUGGUAGGGUAAAAGCCUACCAAGGCGACGAUCCAUAGCUGGUCUGAGAGGAUGAUCAGCCACACUGGGACUGAGACACGGCCCAGACUCCUACGGGAGGCAGGAGUGGGGAAUAGUGGAAAAUGGGCGAAAGCAUGAUCCAGCAAGGACGGGUGAGUGAUGAAGGCCUGAGGGUUGUAAAGCUCUUUUAACCGGGAUGAUAAUGACAGUACCGGGAGAAUAAGCGCCGGCUAACUCCGUG